ensembl:misc_RNA Y_RNA Y RNA
AGCUGGUCCAAGUGCAGUGGUGUUUACAACUAAUCGAUGACAAACCAGUUACAGAUUUCUUUCUUCUUUGUCUACCCCCAGUGCUUCACUUCAUGAGCCUAAA